rnacentral:misc_RNA from 1 species
AAAUGCGCUAAGUAAUGCGCAUUGCAGAAUUUCCGUGAGUCAUCGAAUCUUUGAACGCACAUUGCGCCCAUUGGUAUUCCGAUGGGCAUGCCUGUCCGAGCGUCAUUUCAACCAUCAAGUCCCCGGGCUUGUGUUGGGGACCUGCGGCUGCCGCAGGCCCUGAAAAGCAGUGGCGGGCUCGCUGUCACACCGGGCGUAGUAGAUCUCAUCUCGCCCAGGGCGUGCUGCGGGUUCCGGCCGUUAAAAGACCCCCCGUCUUACCCAAGGUUGACCUCGGAUCAGGUAGGAAGACCCGCUGAACUUAAGC